rnacentral:rRNA from 1 species
UGGGGUAAAGUGGCUAGCAUCCCCGCGCCCCGGCCGAAACCGAGACGCCAAGGAUGACCGCGCAACCGAUGGUGUGUGUUUUGUAUUCAACGUCUCCUAAUCGCUGGUCGGCAUCGUUUAUGGUUAAGACUACGACGGUAUCUGAUCGUCUUCGAUCCCCUAACUUUCGUUCUUGAUUAAUGAAAACAUCCUUGGCAGAUGCUUUCGCAGAAGUUAAUCUUUCAUAAAUCCAAGAAUUUCACCUCUGACAAUUAAAUAUUAAUGCCCCCAACUAUCCCUAUUAAUCAUUACCCUAGUCCUCGCGCUGCCAAAACCAACUGAAAAUAGGAGGACAGGGUCCUAUUCCAUUAUCCCAUGCUAAUGUAUUCGGUGGCAGAAAAUUGGAUCUGCCUGCUUUGAACACUCUAAUUUUUUCACGGUAAACGAUCUGGGCCA